UGGGGGAUAUUGGACAAUGGGGGGAACCCUGAUCCAGCGACGCCGCGUGAGUGAAGAAGUAUUUCGGUAUGUAAAGCUCUGUCAGCAGGGAAGAAAGCAAUGACGGUACCUGACCAAGAAGCCCCGGCUAACUACGUGCCAGCAGCCGCGGUAAUACGUAGGGGGCAAGCGUUAUCCGGAAUUACUGGGUGUAAAGGGAGCGUAGACGGUGAUGCAAGUCUGGAGUGAAAGCCCGGGGCCCAACCCCGGGACUGCUUUGGAAACUGUGUGACUGGAGUGCAGGAGAGGUAAGUGGAAUUCCUAGUGUAGCGGUGAAAUGCGUAGAUAUUAGGAGGAACACCAGUGGCGAAGGCGGCUUACUGGACCGUAACUGACGUUGAGGCUCGAAAGCGUGGGGAGCAAACAGG
rnacentral:rRNA from 1 species